rnacentral:rRNA from 1 species
CCUACGGGUGGCAGCAGUGGGGAAUUUUGCGCAAUGGGCGAAAGCCUGACGCAGCGACGCCGCGUGAGGGAUGAAGGUCUUCGGAUCGUAAACCUCUGUCAGCAGGGAAGAACGGUCACUGUGCUAAUCAGCAGUGAAUUGACGGUACCUGGAAAGGAAGCACCGUCUAACGCCGUGCCAGCAGCCGCGGUAAUAAGGAGGGUGCGAGCGUUAAUCGGAAUUACUGGGCGGAAAGCGCUCGUAGGCGGUAUGUCAAGCCUAGGGUGAAAUCCGUGCGCUAAACGUGGGAACUGCCUUUGAAACUGGCAAACUGGAGUGUGUGAGAGGAUAGUGGAAUUCCAGGGGUAGGAGUGAAAUCCGUAGAUAUCGGGAGGAACAUCAGUGGCGAAGGCGACUAUCUGGCACAUAACUGACGCUGAGGAGCGAAAGCGUGGGUAGCAAACAGGAUUAGAUACCCGAGUAGUC